rnacentral:rRNA from 1 species
AUUGAACGCUGGCGGCAUGCCUUACACAUGCAAGUCGAACGGCAGCACGGGGGCAACCCUGGUGGCGAGUGGCGAACGGGUGAGUAAUGCAUCGGAACGUACCCGGAAGUGGGGGAUAACGUAGCGAAAGUUACGCUAAUACCGCAUAUUCUGUGAGCAGGAAAGCAGGGGAUCGCAAGACCUUGCGCUUUCGGAUCGGCCGAUGUCGGAUUAGCUAGUUGGUGGGGUAAAAGCCUACCAAGGCGACGAUCCGUAGCUGGUCUUAGAGGAUGAUCAGCCACACUGGGACUGAGACACGGCCCAGACUCCUACGGGAGGCAGCAGUGGGGAAUUUUGGACAAUGGGGGCAACCCUGAUCCAGCCAUGCCGCGUGAGUGAAGAAGGCCUUCGGGUUGUAAAGCUCUUUCGGACAGAAAGAAAUCGCAUCGGCUAAUACUCGAUGUGGAUGACGGUACUGUCAUAAGAAGCACCGGCUAACUACGUGCCAGCCGCCGCCGUAA